rnacentral:rRNA from 1 species
GAUGAACGCUGGCGGCGUGCCUAAUACAUGCAAGUCGAGCGGAAAGACGAGGCGCUUGCUCCUCUGACGUUAGCGGCGGGCGGGUGAGUAACACGUGGAUAACCUACCUAUAAGACGGGGAUAACUUCGGGAAACCGGAGCUAAUACCGGAUAAUAUAUUGAACCGCAGGGGGCAAUAGUGAAAGACGGUGGUGCGGGCACGUAUAGAUGGAUCCGCGCCGCAUUAGCGGGUUGGUAGGGUAACGGCUUACCAAGGCAACGAUGCGUAGCCGACCUGUGGGGGGGGUCGGCCACCCUGGAACUGAGACACCGUCCUGGCUCCUGCGGGACGCCGCAGUAGGGUAUCUUCCGCAGUGGGCGAGAGCCUGACGGAGCGACGCCGCGUGAGUUAUGACGGUCUUCGGAUCGUAAUACUCUGUUACUAGUGAAGAACAAAUGUGGCAGUAGCUAUGCCCGUCUUGACGGUACCUAGUCAGAAAGCCCCGGCUAACUACGUG